GCAAUGAGGACCGGACUGCAACAGUGGGUGUCCCCUUCCUCCCUCACUGCUCCAUGUGUGUCCCGCCUGAAGCUGCAUGCUCAGUAGGUUGAAGAGGACAACCUCCUCCAAAUAGAGGAGGAUCAGUCUUCCGUCAAGGGUAUAUGCGUAGCUGCACUCCCCCGCUAAAACCUCCAAACAAGCUCUCAAGAUGCCAGGCUGGGUAGAUCCCCUGUUGAGUUUGGGCUGGAUGGUAAGGGAGAGGGGAAUGGGAAGGGAGCUCUGAGACUCUAACA
rnacentral:snRNA from 1 species